UCUAAACUUAAAUAAAAUUUUAAAGUAUUAAUAUUACAAAAUAAAAACUUAAAGAUUAUGGCGGUUGGUAUUUAAUUUCAGGGGAACUUACCUAGUAAUAGAUAACCACCAAGAGACCCUCCUUAUUAUAAAAAGUUUGUAUACCGUCGUCAUCAGAACAUAUAUUAAAUAUGUUUAAAGUGUAUUUAUACUUAAUGACAGAUCAUGGUGCAGCUUAUUAAUAUGUUUAGGCGAGUUACAGUAAUCACUAUUUUCCUGUACUAUUAAAAUAAUAGGUUAAAGAUGGACUUGAAAGUAAUUAAUAAUAUAUUUACCUUUUGAAUAAUAUAAAAUCCAAUGC
rnacentral:rRNA from 1 species